GACGAACGCUGGCGGCGUGCCUAAUACAUGCAAGUAGAACGCACAGUUUAUACCGUAGCUUGCUACACCAUAAACUGUGAGUUGCGAACGGGUGAGUAACGCGUAGGUAACCUGCCUGGUAGCGGGGGAUAACUAUUGGAAACGAUAGCUAAUACCGCAUAAUAUUGAUUAUUGCAUGAUAAUUGAUUGAAAGAUGCUAUUGCAUCACUACCAGAUGGACCUGCGUUGUAUUAGCUAGUAGGUGAGGUAACGGCUCACCUAGGCGACGAUACAUAGCCGACCUGAGAGGGUGAUCGGCCACACUGGGACUGAGACACGGCCCAGACUCCUACGGGAGGCAGCAGUAGGGAAUCUUCGGCAAUGGACGAAAGUCUGACCGAGCAACGCCGCGUGAGUGAAGAAGGUUUUCGGAUCGUAAAGCUCUGUUGUAAGAGAAGAACGGGUGUGAGAGUGGAAAGUUCACACUGUGACGGUAUCUUACCAGAAAGGGACGGCGAACUACGU
rnacentral:rRNA from 1 species